CUUCUAUGGGGGAUGUAACAAAGAGCUUGAAGCUCUAGAUGACAUGUAUUUCCUCGACACAGAGAUGCUGAGGGAGAAAGAUCCAUCAGAACCAAAGCUAUCCAUGCGUAAGGAACUUAAGAGAAGGCGGCAAGAGUAUCGUGCCACGCCAUUCGUGCUAGACAAGCAACGGGAUGCGGACAAGAGCUUGGUUUCAUCUCACGGAGAGUUUCAAGCUCACGUUCAGCCCCUAGGCGAGAAGAUGUUCGAGGCUAGAG